GGCUCAGCCUCCUCCUGGAGUCCUAGACCGGGCACCGUGGGGCCGCUGGUGGGGGGGAGGGGAGGGGAGAGAUAUUGUUUGUGAAGUAAGAGAGCCCCGGGCGGUAACAGCUCCCUUCACAUUUUCGAGACCCUGUGUGCCUGUGGCUCGCUCAAUCCUCACUAACACGUUUGGGAAUGGAUUCCCGGAACACUUUGCGGUCACGAUCGCGUGUGGUCCUCGGAACAGCCCUGGGAGGCAGGCGUAUCAUCAUCCCUGUUUUACACAGGAGAAAUUGGAGGCGGGAGUUGCCCAGAGUCACACAAUUAAGAACAAAUUCGAACGCAGAUCUUGAUGACUGACCAGGUUUUGAUUGACCUGCUUCUGGGACCUGGAUCAGCCCACUGGAUACUUUGAAUGCUUUCAGCAUAUCACACCCACCCAUCCCUCCCUGGAUUAGGAUUCACUCUGAGCCCAUUCUCAGAAGGAAGUACUUACUAAAUUCUUAAGCCUUAAAGUCACACAAUGAGCAUUAGAGGCCCUGACUCUAAAUUCUGCUAUCUAGUCUGCCAUCUAAGAUGGGACUAUUGGGAAAAGUGUGCUUUUGUGUUUCUCAUUUUUCUUUUUUUCCCCCCAAGGCAAUUGGGAUUAAGUGACUUGCUCAGGAAGUAUUAAGUAUCUGAUAUCAAAUUUGAACUCAUGUCCUGACUCCAGGGUCAAUGAUCUAUCCACUGGACUAUAAUUAAGCCUUGUUCCUUGAUCAAGCCCCUUGAUAGGGGCUUUCUAUAGCUCCCCUUUGGGAAGGGGGUGGGGGUGGGGGUGGGGCUGGGGAUGGAGGAGAAUCUUUUCCUAACAUCUGCCUCAUUUCAGCCAGAAGAGGUUACUAGUUUAGCCCUUAACAAAGUAAGUUCCCUGUUUGUCUAUUAAAAUACU
rnacentral:lncRNA from 1 species